UGUUGUUUAAAUAUUUUGUGUUAAUUUUUGCUAUUGUAGGUGCUCAUGUUGGGAAUGCACAAAACUUACCACCAUGUUGCGCGCAUCCUGGUCUUGAAUGUCAACCAAUUCAUUGUCCUAAACUCCCAUGUUGCAAACCUUCUACGCCUCCUAAUAGUGAUACAAAGCUUUGAAAUUUCUCAUAUCGUUUAUUCCUACUGUUAAACCAAUCAAUUUGUAUUUGAGAUAACUUUACAUGAGUUUUAGUUAAUUUAUUAAUAAGAUUGGUUAAUAAAUUAUGGUCUCUUAUUCUCUA